rnacentral:rRNA from 1 species
UACGUAGGUGGCAAGCGUUGUCCGGAUUUACUGGGUGUAAAGGGCGUGCAGCCGGGAAGACAAGUCAGAUGUGAAAUCCCGCGGCUCAACCGCGGAACUGCAUUUGAAACUGUUUUUCUUGAGUACCGGAGAGGUCAUCGGAAUUCCUUGCGUAGCGGUGAAAUGCGUAGAUAUAAGGAAGAACACCAGUGGCGAAGGCGGAUGACUGGACGGCAACUGACGGUGAGGCGCGAAAGCGUGGGGAGCAAACAGG